UAGGGAAUCUUCCACAAUGGACGAAAGUCUGAUGGAGCAACGCCGCGUGAGUGAAGAAGGGUUUCGGCUCGUAAAACUCUGUUGUUAAAGAAGAACAUAUCUGAGAGUAACUGUUCAGGUAUUGACGGUAUUAACCAGAAAGGAACGGCUAAAUACGCGCCAG
rnacentral:rRNA from 1 species